rnacentral:rRNA from 1 species
UACGAAGGAUGCAAGCGUUAUCCGGAUUUAUUGGGUUUAAAGGGAGCGUAGGCGGCCUUAUAAGUCAGUGGUGAAAUCUCGUUGCUUAACAACGAACGUGCCAUUGAUACUGUAGGGCUUGAGUACAGAUGCCGUUGGCGGAAUGUGUCAUGUAGCGGUGAAAUGCAUAGAUAUGUCACAGAACACCAAUUGCGAAGGCAGCUUGCUAAAGUACGAUUGACGCUGAGGCACGAAAGCGUGGGGAUCAAACAGG